rnacentral:rRNA from 1 species
AGUGAACGCUGGCGGUAGGCCUAACACAUGCAAGUCGAACGGCAGCACAGUAAGAGCUUGCUCUUACGGGUGGCGAGUGGCGGACGGGUGAGGAAUACAUCGGAAUCUACUUUUUCGUGGGGGAUAACGUAGGGAAACUUACGCUAAUACCGCAUACGACCUACGGGUGAAAGCAGGGGAUCUUCGGACCUUGCGCGAUUGAAUGAGCCGAUGUCGGAUUAGCUAGUUGGCGGGGUAAAGGCCCACCAAGGCGACGAUCCGUAGCUGGUCUGAGAGGAUGAUCAGCCACACUGGAACUGAGACACGGUCCAGACUCCUACGGUAGGCAGCAGUGGGGAAUAUUGGACAAUGGGCGCAAGCCUGAUCCAGUCAUACCGCGUGGGUGAAGAAGGCCUUCGGGUUGUAAAGCCCUUUUGUUGGGAAAGAAAAGCAGCAGGUUAAUACCCCGCUGUUCUGACGGUACCCAAAGAAUAAGCACCGGCUAACUUCGUG